rnacentral:tRNA from 1 species
GCCGGCUUGCGCGGCGCCUUUGGCGCGCCGUCCUUGCUGCGCGCGGCGCGCGGUGCCGGCGCCGCGGCCGGCGC